rnacentral:rRNA from 1 species
UACGUAGGGGGCAAGCGUUGUCCGGAUUCAUUGGGCGUAAAGAGCGUGUAGGCGGCCAGGUAGGUCGGUUGUGAAAAACUGGAGGCUCAACCUUCAGAGGUCGACCGAAACCAUCUGGCUAGAGUCCGGGAGAGGAGAGUGGAAUUCCUGGUGUAGCGGUGAAAGUGCGCAGAUAUCAGGAAGAACACCCGUAGCGAAAGCGGCUCUCUGGAACGGUACUGACGCUGAGACGCGAAAGCGUGGGGAGCGAACAGG